GAUGAACGCUGGCGGCGUGCCUAAUACAUGCAAGUCGAGCGAACAGACGAGGAGCUUGCUCCUCUGACGUUAGCGGCGGACGGGUGAGUAACACGUGGAUAACCUACCUAUAAGACUGGGAUAACUUCGGGAAACCGGAGCUAAUACCGGAUAAUAUAUUGAACCGCAUGGUUCAAUAGUGAAAGACGGUUUUGCUGUCACUUAUAGAUGGAUCCGCGCCGCAUUCGUUAGUUGGUAAGGUAACGGCUUACCAAGGCCAAGAUGCGUAGCCGACCUGAGAGGGUGAUCGCCCACACUGUAACUGAGACACGGUCCAGACUCCUACGGGAGGCAGCAGUCGGGAAUCUUCCGCAAUGGACGAGAGCCUGACGGAGCAACGCCGCGUGAGUGAUGAAGGUCUUCGGAUCGUAAAGCUCUGUUAUUAGGAGAGAACAAAUGUGUAAGUACCUAUGCACGUCUUGACGGUACCUAGUCAGAAAGCCCCGGCUAACUACGUG
rnacentral:rRNA from 1 species